CCUACGGGAGGCAGCAGUGGGGAAUAUUGGACAAUGGGCGAAAGCCUGAUCCAGCCAUGCCGCGUGUGUGAAGAAGGCCUUUUGGUUGUAAAGCACUUUAAGCGGGGAGGAGGGCUCUGUGGUUAAUACCCAUGGAAGUCGGACGUUACCCGCAGAAUAAGCACCGGCUAACUCUGUGCCAGCAGCCGCGGUAA
rnacentral:rRNA from 1 species